rnacentral:lncRNA from 1 species
UAAUCCACUGUUACAUAAGUGUAAUCCAUUAUAUGUUCAUCCAAAACCACUAUUAAUAAAUGUUCAUCCAAAACCACUAUUAACAAAUGUAUACAAACAAAUUCGGCAUCACUUCGGUUGCUCAAGAACCUGAACCAAAAAGAAAAGAAGGUAACAAAUUGUCAGUCUUAUUAGUGUAAUCCACUAAUAACACACUUUCAAACCAUAACAAACAAAAAACGUAAUCCACUAUUCAAAUAACCUUUGUGGGCCAACCCUAUGAAUUCUCAAGAAACUCAAGAAUAUAAGAAAAAAAAAUACCCAAGCCAAAGAAAAUGGCUGCCGCACCCUCUUUGCGCCGCCGCCCAAGGCCAAACCCCUCAAUUCACACACAUUCAACCACCAAAAUUCACACAUAAUUCCCCCAAAAUUCACACAAAGACACGUACAUUUUACGAAGCUAAUUGAUUCCAAUUGACACGAGAAGCCUUUAAACGCGUAUCGAUUCGAAUUAUAAUCCAUCGAACAUUUGAUCCUAAGCAGGAAAAAAACAGAGUGAUCCUACACAACUAAUUAACACUGAACUAAUUAAAUACUCUCAAUCAUCAAGAUUAAAAAUUAGAUCGGUGCUUAAGUAAAACAGUUAAAACAUUAUGAAAACUCAAUAAACAAUCUUCUAUCUUUAACAUUUAUCACUCAAAUUAAAAAUUAAUUAAAAAUUGUUUAGUUUCCCAAAAUAUUCACUAACCAAACGAUUCGAAACUCACCUAAUGGAUGAUUACACAAAUCAACGAGCACGCAAUUGGCUAACGAUUUCGUUUGCCGCAAUUCAAACCAUGUCGAUAAUCCGGGUCUGACCCGGACCGUCGGGUCGGAUCGACGUGAAAUUAGAAAAGU